GUGCUCACUUUGGUGGCAUGUAAACUAAAAGUAAAAUGAUACAGAGAAGACUAGUAUGGCCCCUGUGCCAAAUGUGACACACAUAUUCUUCAAGAGUUGCAUAAAGAU
rfam:Erinaceus europaeus unplaced genomic scaffold scaffold00448, whole genome shotgun sequence